GGGCCCCUAGUUCAUCUGGUAGAACGUCUCAUUUGCAAUGAGAAGGUGAGCGGUUCGAGCCCGCUGGGGUCCACCA
rnacentral:tRNA from 4 species